UACGGAAGGCAGCAGUGGGGAAUAUUGCACAAUGGGCGCAAGCCUGAUGCAGCCAUGCCGCGUGUAUGAAGAAGGCCUUCGGGUUGUAAAGUACUUUCAGUCGUGAGGAAGGUGUUAAGGUUAAUAACCUUAGCAAUUGACGUUAGCGACAGAAGAAGCACCGGCUAACUCCGUGCCAGCAGCCGCGGUAAUACGGAGGAUGCGAGCGUUAAUCGGAAUUACUGGGCGUAAAGGGCACGCAGGCGGUUAAUUAAGUUGGAUGUGAAAUCCCCGGGCUUAACCUGGGAAUGGCAUUCAAGACUGGUUAGCUAGAGUCUUGUAGAGGGGGUAGAAUUCCAUGUGUAGCGGUGAAAUGCGUAGAGAUGUGGAGGAAUACCGGUGGCGAAGGCGGCCCCUGGGACAAAGACUGACGCUCAUGUGCGAAAGCGUGGGGAGCAAACAGGAUUAGAUACC
rnacentral:rRNA from 1 species